UACGUAGGGCCCGAGCGUUGUCCGGAAUUAUUGGGCGUAAAGAGCUCGUAGGCGGUUUGUCGCGUCUGCUGUGAAAUCCCGAGGCUCAACCUCGGGUCUGCAGUGGGUACGGGCAGACUGGAGUGCGGUAGGGGAGAAUGGAAUUCCUGGUGUAGCGGUGGAAUGCGCAGAUAUCAGGAGGAACACCGGUGGCGAAGGCGGGUCUCUGGGCCGAUACUGACGCUGAGGAGCGAAAGCGUGGGGAGCGAACAGG
rnacentral:rRNA from 1 species